UGUUUAGAGGCAGAGAGGCAAGGAAAAAUUCACAUUGUUCGAUGAAUUCUUCAUUGCAGGCUCAUCUAAAAAGGUGGAGUUCUGUAUGAGGAGCAAUUUUUUCCAACAUGGAAAUGAUUGAGGAAGAUGUGGGAGAAAAAAAUCGAGCCGUAGUUUGCCAAGGGGCCGCGGUUCUCCGAAGAGGCUGGAAAAGAAAUAAACGAUAUCUCACCCUCUUCACUGAUGUUUUGGUUAUAUCCAGUAAACUGAAUAAGAAGAAGUUUAAAGUAAAGCAUGUCAUUCCAUUGACUUACCUGUGGCUUGGUAAUGAAGUGGACAUAUUCAGGACAGACAACAGCCCUGCUUCCAAGUCCAUUUACCUGUAUUGGCCUAUGGGAAAUGCUGUUGUCACCUUUUGUUCCAUGGAAGAGACCAUUUGGUGGUACUUCUUUCUACAAAGAUCCAUUCGUGAUGCGAAGAAGCAGAACAAAACAGAUCUAUCCCUGCAGAUAUCCACUGAGGACAUUGCAUACUGUGACACUCCUCUAUAUGUAACAGCAACAAACUUCGAUACAGUCAAUGACAUAAUCAGCAAGUUACUGCCAAUGAUGAGAAAACAUAGCAUUGAAGAUUAUCAACUGUGGUUCUGUUCUCGCCCUGGGGAAGCUCCAAGAGUACUCCAAGGAAAUGAGUAUCCACAUGACAUUAUAAUGAUAAAUAUUCAAAAGAACUUCACUUCACGGGACUUAAGAAACUUUACUGCUUUCCCUUCCCUACCUGGGCUGAUCAUGAAA
rnacentral:lncRNA from 1 species